GGGUUAUUAGCUCAGUUGGCGAGAGCAUCUGCCUUACAAGCAGGGGGUCGUAGGUUCGAAUCCUACAUAACCCACCA
rnacentral:tRNA from 1 species